ACUAGACUGUUUUAGUAGUAAUCUGAGUUAGUAAAUUCCUGUUUUUACUAAUCUGUUUUAGUACUAAUAUGUGUUAUUAAAUUCCCGUUUCAGUAACUUCAUGUUUAUACUAAUCUGAACUUCUGUGCAGUGUCUUUUUAACCAGUCAUGGCUUCUACACAAUCAUCAUCGUCUGUAAUUGAUGAAUUUGUGUUGGAAACACCAAGUUGUUGGUGUGGUUUGAAAGCACCCCUAAAGACAUCGCACACAACGAAAAAUUUGGGAAGAAAAUUUUUCGCCUGCCCAAAUUAUAAGACGCUUGAAAGUAGGAAAUGUGAAUUUUUCAUUUGGGCAGAUAUAUUUCACCUGGUAGAGGAGAACAUUCGUAGAAGAGAGAGUCAAGUUUGGAAUAUGUUGGAUGACGUAUUGGUGCGCGAGAAAGAGGUUUGUAAAAAGGAAGAUAAAGUGCGAGAGCGAGAGACAAGGCUUCGUAGGGAAAAUCAUAAAUUAUUAUGUUUGUAUUGGAUUGUGAUUUUUGUAAUUAUUUGGGCUUGGUUUGGAUAGUUUGGUAACUCUAAUACCAAACUAACUUUUUGUGUCCAUGUAACUGUUGGUAGAGUGUAGUGUGGAAGUCCAACUUACCAAACUGACUUUUUGAAUGUCAUGUAACUGUUGGUAGAGUGUAGUGUGGAAGUCCAACUUACUGUUAUGUGCAGAAACAUCUUGGACCUGUC